rnacentral:rRNA from 1 species
AGGUUGGGUAACACUAACUGGAGGACCGAACCGACUAAUGUUGAAAAAUUAGCGGAUGACCUGUGGCUGGGGGUGAAAGGCCAAUCAAACCGGGAGAUAGCUGGUUCUCCCCGAAAGCUAUUUAGGUAGCGCCUCGUGAAUUCAUCUCCGGGGGUAGAGCACUGUUUCGGCUAGGGGGCCAUCCCGGCUUACCAACCCGAUGCAAACUGCGAAUACCGGAGAAUGUUAUCACGGGAGACACACGGCGGGUGCUAACGUCCGUCGUGAAGAGGGAAACAACCCAGACCGCCAGCUAAGGUCCCAAAGUCAUGGUUAAGUGGGAAACGAUGUGGGAAGGCCCAGACAGCCAGGAUGUUGGCUUAGAAGCAGCCAUCAUUUAAAGAAAGCGUAAUAGCUCACUGGUCGAGUCGGCCUGCGCGGAAGAUGUAACGGGGCUAAACCAUGCACCGAAGCUGCGGCAGCGACACUGUGUGUUGUUGGGUAGGGGAGCGUUCUGUAAGCCUGCGAAGGUGGCCUGUGAGGGUUGCUGGAGGUAUCAGAAGUGCGAAUGCUGACAUAAGUAACGAUAAAGCGGGUGAAAAGCCCGCUCGCCGGAAGACCAAGGGUUCCUGUCCAACGUUAAUCGGGGCAGGGUGAGUCGACCCCUAAGGCGAGGCCGAAAGGCGUAGUCGAUGGGAAACGGGUUAAUAUUCCCGUACUUGGUGUUACUGCGAAGGGGGGACGGAGAAGGCUAUGUUGGCCGGGCGACGGUUGUCCCGGUUUAAGCGUGUAGGUGUGUGUUCCAGGUAAAUCCGGUUCACUUUAACACUGAGGCGUGACGACGAGGCACUACGGUGCUGAAGCAACAAAUGCCCUGCUUCCAGGAAAAGCCUCUAAGCAUCAGGUAACAUCAAAUCGUACCCCAAACCGACACAGGUGGUCAGGUAGAGAAUACCAAGGCGCUUGAGAGAACUCGGGUGAAGGAACUAGGCAAAAUGGUGCCGUAACUUCGGGAGAAGGCACGCUGACACGUAGGUGAAGUGAUUUACUCAUGGAGCUGAAGUCAGUCGAAGAUACCAGCUGGCUGCAACUGUUUAUUAAAAACACAGCACUGUGCAAACACGAAAGUGGACGUAUACGGUGUGACGCCUGCCCGGUGCCGGAAGGUUAAUUGAUGGGGUCAGCGCAAGCGAAGCUCCUGAUCGAAGCCCCGGUAAACGGCGGCCGUAACUAUAACGGUCCUAAGGUAGCGAAAUUCCUUGUCGGGUAAGUUCCGACCUGCACGAAUGGCGUAAUGAUGGCCAGGCUGUCUCCACCCGAGACUCAGUGAAAUUGAACUCGCUGUGAAGAUGCAGUGUACCCGCGGCAAGACGGAAAGACCCCGUGAACCUUUACUAUAGCUUGACACUGAACAUUGAGCCUUGAUGUGUAGGAUAGGUGGGAGGCUUUGAAGUGUGGACGCCAGUCUGCAUGGAGCCGACCUUGAAAUACCACCCUUUAAUGUUUGAUGUUCUAACGUGGACCCGUUACCCGGGUUGCGGACAGUGUCUGGUGGGUAGUUUGACUGGGGCGGUCUCCUCCUAAAGAGUAACGGAGGAGCACGAAGGUUGGCUAAUCCUGGUCGGACAUCAGGAGGUUAGUGCAAUGGCAUAAGCCAGCUUGACUGCGAGCGUGACGGCGCGAGCAGGUGCGAAAGCAGGUCAUAGUGAUCCGGUGGUUCUGAAUGGAAGGGCCAUCGCUCAACGGAUAAAAGGUACUCCGGGGAUAACAGGCUGAUACCGCCCAAGAGUUCAUAUCGACGGCGGUGUUUGGCACCUCGAUGUCGGCUCAUCACAUCCUGGGGCUGAAGUAGGUCCCAAGGGUAUGGCUGUUCGCCAUUUAAAGUGGUACGCGAGCUGGGUUUAGAACGUCGUGAGACAGUUCGGUCCCUAUCUGCCGUGGGCGCUGGAGAACUGAGGGGGGCUGCUCCUAGUACGAGAGGACCGGAGUGGACGCAUCACUGGUGUUCGGGUUGUCAUGCCAAUGGCACUGCCCGGUAGCUAAAUGCGGAAGAGAUAAGUGCUGAAAGCAUCUAAGCACGAAACUUGCCCCGAGAUGAGUUCUCCCUGAGACUUAGAGUCUCCUGAAGGAACGUUGAAGACGACGACGUUGAUAGGCCGGGUGUGUAAGCGCAGCGAUGCGUUGAGCUAACCGGUACUAAUGAACCGUGAGGCUUAACCUUACAACGCCGAAG